AUGCACGCUGGCGGCGUGCCUAAUACAUGCAAGUCGAGCGAACGGACGAGAAGCUUGCUUCUCUGAUGUUAGCGGCGGACGGGUGAGUAACACGUGGAUAACCUACCUAUAAGACUGGGAUAACUUCGGGAAACCGGAGCUAAUACCGGAUAAUAUUUUGAACCGCAUGGUUCAAAAGUGAAAGACGGUCUUGCUGUCACUUAUAGAUGGAUCCGCGCUGCAUUAGCUAGUUGGUAAGGUAACGGCUUACCAAGGCAACGAUGCAUAGCCGACCUGAGAGGGUGAUCGGCCACACUGGAACUGAGACACGGUCCAGACUCCUACGGGAGGCAGCAGUAGGGAAUCUUCCGCAAUGGGCGAAAGCCUGACGGAGCAACGCCGCGUGAGUGAUGAAGGUCUUCGGAUCGUGAAACUCUGUUAUUAGGGAAGAACAUAUGUGUAAGUAACUGUGCACAUCUUGACGGUACCUAAUCAGAAAGCCACGGCUAACUACGUG
rnacentral:rRNA from 1 species